CCUACGGGGGGCAGCAGUGGGGAAUAUUGCACAAUGGGGGAAACCCUGAUGCAGCAACGCCGCGUGAGUGAAGAAGUAUCUCGGCAUGUAAAGCUCUAUCAGCAGGGAAGAAGAAAGACGGUACCUGACUAAGAAGCCCGGCUAACUACGUGCCAGCAGCCGCGGUAAUACGUAGGGGGCAAGCGUUAUCCGGAUUUACUGGGUGUAAAGGGAGCGUAGACGGCUGUGCAAGUCUGAAGUGAAAGCCCGUGGCGCAACCGCGGAACUGCUCUGGAAACUGUAUGGCUUGAGUGCUGGAGAGGCAGGCGGAAUUCCUAGUGUAGCGGUGAAAUGCGUAGAUAUUAGGAGGAACACCAGUGGCGAAGGCGGCCUGCUGGACAGAAACUGACGUUGAGGCUCGAAAGCGUGGGGAGCAAACAGGAUUAGAUACCCGUGUAGUC
rnacentral:rRNA from 1 species